GUCGAACCGUACGAACGUUAUUCGGAAUCACUGGGCUUAAAGGGUGCGUAGGCGGCGCGACAAGUUGGGUGUGAAAUCCCUCGGCUCAACCGAGGAACUGCGCCCAAAACUGUCGUGCUCGAGGGAGACAGAGGUGAGCGGAACUUAGGGUGGAGCGGUGAAAUGCGUUGAUAUCCUAAGGAACACCGGUGGCGAAAGCGGCUCACUGGGUCUCUUCUGACGCUGAGGCACGAAAGCUAGGGUAGCGAACGGG
rnacentral:rRNA from 1 species